rnacentral:rRNA from 1 species
GUCAUCUCAUCUCAUCUCCCUCCAAAGUCCAAAGGGCGCCAGGAUUCGUGCUCCCGUACCGGCCAGACCAAUCGGCGGCGAGGAGGAGAGGCCUUCACUUUCCACGGCCGACGACCGCCGGAGAUGGGGGACCAGGGGGAGGGGCCGGCCGGGUUCGCGCGCGCGCGCCACGCGGCGUUCCUGGAGCUCAUGUCGUCCGAGCUCCCCGACGGCUACGCCACGCAGGAGGUCAACCACCUCACCCUCGCCUACUUCGCCGUCGCCGGCCUCUCCCUCCUCCGGGAGCUCGACCGGGUUAACAAGGAUCAAAUUGCCAAAUGGGUUCUGUCGUUUCAAGUACACCCUGAGGCAAACGUCAACUUAGACAAUGGGCAAUUUUAUGGAUUCUGUGGCUCUAGAACAACUAAGUUUCCCUCAAAUUUGGUGAAGGACCCUUGUCAUAAUGGUAGUCAUCUAGCAAGCACUUAUUCGGCCCUUGCUACGUUGAAGAUUGUAGGUUAUGAUGUACUAAACCUUGAUAGCAAGGUUCUUCUAUUGUCGAUGAAAAAACUCCAGCAACCAGAUGGAAGCUUCAUGCCUACUCAUAUUGGUGCGGAAACAGACCUACGCUUUGUUUACUGUGCAGCUGCGAUCUGCUCAAUGCUAAAAGACUGGUCAGGAAUGGACAAGGAAAAGGCCAAAGAAUACAUUCUUAACUGCCAGUCAUAUGACGGUGGCUUUGGCAUGGUUCCUGGUUCAGAAUCUCAUGGUGGGGGAACUUUCUGUGCUGUUGCGGCCCUAUAUCUAAUGGGUUUCAUUCAAGUUGAUUUGGCAUCGAACUCACGAGAGUCUGCGCCGAUUGACGUACAAUUGCUCCUGGAGUGGUGCCUUCAGAGGCAAGCAGCAGACGGGGGAUUUCAGGGCAGAAGAAACAAGCCAAGCGAUACGUGCUACGCUUUCUGGAUUGGAGGCGUGUUGAAGAUGAUUGGCGCCUACCACUUGAUCGACCACGGCGCUCUGCGGGAGUUUCUGCUCACCUGCCAGACAUGCUACGGAGGCUUCUCGAAAUUCCCAGACGACGAGUUGCCAGACAUCUACCAUUCUUACUACGGUCUCGCCGCCCUCUCGUUGCUGGGGGAGGAGGAGGUCGAGCCGCUCUGCGCCGAGCUGGGGAUCAUCGCCGCCGCACUGUAGCUAGCCAAGGCACCGAUCUUCCCCCGUUGUACCCCCUUGUAACUCACAGUUUUGUUGCGAUUGAGUAUUGACAGAUACUGUAACAUCCACCAUUACAGCGUGCUGCUGAAAACAUGGAAGCAAUUUUUGCGUGAAGUUUCUUGAUCCGCCGCGCUUUCGGCGUGUGUACGGUCGUGCUCUGUUCUGAAGUUUGUUGUGUUAGCUGAGCUGUUGGAUCUGCUCCGAGAGCUACUGAAAACGGUGCGGGCAGCAGAAUCAUCUGCCUGGAAUUGCGUGCGCGAUGAAGAAAUGGCGCGUGUGGUGGGGAUUGAGCAAGCUGGAUUUGGGCGGCGGGCGGUUGGUUGGGUAGAUGCGAGCAGCUGCAGCGGCAAUAACUAACUGCCACGAGCUGCUGCUGCCCACCACUCUCUCACUCGCUCGUCCUGUCCGAACGAUCCGAUCCGAUCUCGUCAGAUUCCUUCCAGAUUCAAACCGAUUGCGGCAGAGUUUGUUGGCCAGCCGCCUCCUAAUCCAACUCCCCGACCCGAGCAACGCCGCGUGCUAUUUCUUCCUUCCGCCUCCGUGUUGUAGCGGGACAUCGGCGGCCAUUAUUUGAUCCGCUGCAGGCGCAUCCAGAGCCCUGCGGCGUCUUCUAGUCUAGAAUGGCCGGCGUCGGGUCGGCGGUGCGGCGGCUCUACCUCUCCGUCUACAACUGGGUCGUCUUCGUCGGAUGGGCGCAGGUGCUCUACUACGCGGUCACGGCGCUGCUGGACGGCGGCCAUGAGGGCGUCUAUGCCGCCGUCGAGCGCCCGCUGCAGCUCGCGCAGACCGCCGCCGUCAUGGAGAUUCUUCAUGGGCUUGUAGGGUUGGUGAGGUCUCCGGUCACUGCAACCCUUCCACAAAUAGGAUCGAGGUUGUUUCUUACAUGGGGCAUCCUGUGGAGCUUUCCGGAGACACAAUCUCAUAUUCUUGUAACUUCUUUGGUCAUCAGCUGGUCCAUCACCGAGAUCAUUAGAUAUUCUUUCUUCGGCUUGAAGGAGACACUUGGAUUUGCACCUUCCUGGCUUUUAUGGCUCAGGUAUAGCACAUUUAUGAUAUUGUAUCCUACCGGCAUCCUUAGCGAGGUCGGUUUGAUUUACAUUGCUCUGCCUUACAUCAAGGUAUCCGAGAAAUACUUUGUUAAGAUGCCUAACAAAUGGAAUUUCUCCUUUGACUACUUUUACACAUGUGCUAUCGCCAUCGGUGUCUAUGUUCCAGGUGGGCCGCACAUGUUCACAUACAUGCUUGCCCAGAGGAAGAAGGCCCUGUCAAAGGCAAAGACUGCAUGAAGUUGCUGUGAGCCUUGUAGAUGGGGCAUGCAAUGCAAACCCUACUACAGUGUCAUGUUGUAGAGUAGUUGGUGUGAGAUCGGUAAUUCUAUUCGGUGAAUUACCCGACCUGUGUUGUAACAAUGAUGAUUGUUGGAUUUCCCAUGGUGGAAUCCAUCAUUGAUCAAACUCUGCAUUGAGCCAAUGAUUAUGACCAAAGAAGUGGCAUAAUCCUAUCAGAUAAAAGCAAUAUUCAUCUUCGGAAGUGCUCGUCCAUUAUGAGCCAAUGACUAGAUGUCAACUUGACAAGGAAAACUUUUGUGGAGCAGAUGGUACACUGGUUAUUUCACAGGACAAGUGUUGUCUCUAUUCUAGUAUAUGUGCAUAUGUACAAUCUUGUUACAAGAUCCUUAACAUUACACAGGGGCAAUAUACAGUGGAUACAUUAUUGUGUAUUUGGGGUUGCAAGCAAACUACGCAUAUAUGUAGAUAUCUGCUCCUAAAUGAAAAAAAUCCGCCAAUUCAUUGGAUGUACAACAGUCUGAAUUGGAGCGAGAUGGGGGCUUCCUUCCAAGUCACUAAGAUUAUUCCUUAA